GACGUAGGGCGCGAGCGUUGUCCGGAUUUAUUGGGCGUAAAGAGCUCGUAGGCGGCUUGUCGCGUCGUUCGUGAAAACCCGGGGCUCAACUCCGGGCUUGCGGGCGAUACGGGCAGGCUAGAGUUCGGUAGGGGAGACUGGAAUUCCUGGUGUAGCGGUGAAAUGCGCAGAUAUCAGGAGGAACACCGGUGGCGAAGGCGGGUCUCUGGGCCUGACCUGACGCUGAGGAGCGAAAGCGUGGGGAGCGAACAGG
rnacentral:rRNA from 1 species